CCUACGGGAGGCAGCAGUAAGGAAUAUUGGUCAAUGGACGAAAGUCUGAACCAGCCAUGCCGCGUGAAGGAUUAAGGCCCUCUGGGUUGUAAACUUCUUUUAUCUGGGACGAAAAAAGGGUAUUCUUACUCACUUGACGGUACCAGAGGAAUAAGCACCGGCUAACUCCGUGCCAGCAGCCGCGGGUAAUACGGAGGGUGCAAGCGUUAUCCGGGAUUUACUGGGUUUAAAGGGUGCGUAGGUGGGUUUGUAAGUCAGUGGUGAAAUCUCCGAGCUUAACUCGGAAACUGCCAUUGAUACUAUAGAUCUUGAAUUAUCUGGAGGUAAGCGGAAUAUGUCAUGUAGCGGUGAAAUGCUUAGAUAUGACAUAGAACACCAAUUGCGAAGGCAGCUUACUACGGAUAUAUUGACACUGAGGCACGAAAGCGUGGGGAUCAAACAGGAUUAGAUACCCUAGGUAGUCCACGCCCUAAACGAUGGAUACUCGACAUCAGCGAUACACUGUUGGUGUCUGAGCGAAAGCAUUAAGUAUCCCACCUGGGAAGUACGAUCGCAAGAUUGAAACUCAAAUGAGUAGAGNGNGAGAGAGCGAGACGACGACGAGGGAGGAGG
rnacentral:rRNA from 1 species